GUGCCAGCAGCCGCGGUAAUACGGAGGGUGCGAGCGUUAAUCGGAAUUACUGGGCGUAAAGCGUGCGUAGGCGGCUUGAUAAGCCGGUUGUGAAAGCCCCGGGCUCAACCUGGGAACGGCAUCCGGAACUGUCAGGCUAGAGUGCAGGAGAGGAAGGUAGAAUUCCCGGUGUAGCGGUGAAAUGCGUAGAGAUCGGGAGGAAUACCAGUGGCGAAGGCGGCCUUCUGGACUGACACUGACGCUGAGGUACGAAAGCGUGGGUAGCAAACAGGAUUAGAUACCCUGGUAGUCCACGCCGUAAAUGAUGUCGACUAGCCGUUGGGGUCCUCGAGACCUUUGUGGCGCAGUAACGCACUAAGUCGACCGCCU
rnacentral:rRNA from 1 species